CAAGUCGCACGAGAAAGGGCUUCGGCCCCGGUACAGUGGCGCACGGGUGAGUAACACGUAGAUCAUCUCCCCUCGAGUGGUGGAUAACCUUCCGAAAGGAAAGCUAAUACAGCAUGAGACCACGGCUUCGUUGAAGCUGCGGCCAAAGCAGGCCUCUACAUGUAAGCUUGCGCUUGAGGAUGAGUCUGCGGCCCAUCAGCUAGUUGGUAGGGUAAUGGCCUACCAAGGCUAAGACGGGUAGCUGGUCUGAGAGGAUGAACAGCCACACUGGAACUGAGACACGGUCCAGACUCCUACGGGAGGCAGCAGUGGGGAAUCUUGCGCAAUGGGCGAAAGCCUGACGCAGCGACGCCGCGUGAGCGAUGAAGGCCUUCGGGUUGUAAAGCUCUGUGGGGAGGAAAGAAUAAGGUUUGGCUAAUAUCCAAGCUGAUGACGGUACCUCCUUAGCAAGCACCGGCUAACUCUGUGCCAGCAGCCGCGGUAAGACAGAGGGUGCAAACGUUGUUCGGAAUUACUGGGCGUAAAGCGCGUGUAGGCGGCCCUGCAAGUCGGAUGUGAAAUCCCACGGCUCAACCGUGGAAGUGCAUUCGAAACUGCAGGGCUAGAGUCCUGGAGAGGAAGGUGGAAUGCUUGGUGUAGAGGUGAAAUUCGUAGAUAUCAAGCGGAACACCGGUGGCGAAGGCGGCCUUCUGGACAGUGACUGACGCUGAGACGCGAAAGCGUGGGGAGCAACAGGAUUAGAUACCCUGGUAGUCCACGCCGUAAACGAUGAGUGCUAGGUGUCACGGGCUUUGACCCUCGUGGUGCCGAAGCUAACGCGUUAAGCACUCCGCCUGGGG
rnacentral:rRNA from 1 species